CCUACGGGUGGCAGCAGUGAGGAAUAUUGGUCAAUGGGCGCGAGCCUGAACCAGCCAAGUCGCGUGAGGGAUGAAGGUUCUAUGGAUCGUAAACCUCUUUUAUAAGGGAAUAAAGUGUGGGACGUGUCCUAUUCUGUAUGUACCUUAUGAAUAAGGAUCGGCUAACUCCGUGCCAGCAGCCGCGGUAAUACGGAGGAUCCGAGCGUUAUCCGGAUUUAUUGGGUUUAAAGGGUGCGUAGGCGGCCUUUUAAGUCAGCGGUGAAAGUCUGUGGCUCAACCAUGGAAUUGCAGUUGAAACUGGGGGGCUUGAGUAUGUUUGAGACAGGCGGAAUGCGUGGUGUAGCGGUGAAAUGCUUAGAUAUCGCGCAGAACCCCGAUUGCGAAGGCAGCCUGCCGAGCCAUGACUGACGCUGAUGCACGAAAGCGUGGGGAUCAAACAGGAUUAGAUACCCCUGUAGUC
rnacentral:rRNA from 1 species